rnacentral:miRNA from 1 species
GGCUCUACGGUCAGUUCU